rnacentral:rRNA from 1 species
CUUGGUCAUUUAGAGGAAGUAAAAGUCGUAACAAGGUUUCCGUAGGUGAACCUGCGGAAGGAUCAUUAUUGAAAUUAUAGGUGAGGGUUGUAGCUGGCCUCUCGGGGCAUGUGCACGCCCGAGCCCUUAAUCCACACACACCUGUGAACCUAUUGUAAGGGCCCUUAAAAAAGGCCUUUACGUCUUAUCAUCAACCCAUCGUAUGUCUCAUAGAAUGUAAAUAUAUGUCCUCGCCUUAAAAAGCGUUGAUAAACUUAUACAACUUUCAACAACGGAUCUCUUGGCUCUCGCAUCGAUGAAGAACGCAGCGAAAUGCGAUAAGUAAUGUGAAUUGCAGAUUUUCAGUGAAUCAUCGAAUCUUUGAACGCACCUUGCGCUCCUUGGUAUUCCGAGGAGCAUGCCUGUUUGAGUGUCAUUAAAUUCUCAACUCUGAUCGAUUUGUUUCGACUUCGGAGCUUGGAUUUGGAGCGUGCUGGCGUCGGUCGGCUCCUCUUAAAUGCAUCAGCGGAAUCUAACGUUUCGGACGUCAGUGUGAUAAUCAUGUUGCGCUGUCUGUCUGAUCCGAAAGCCCGCUCACAAUGGUCUUCGGACAACUUCAUAUCAAAUUUGACCUCAAAUCAGGUAGGACUACCCGCUGAACUUAAGCAUAUCAAUAAGCGGAGGAAAAGAAACUAACAAGGAUUCCCCUAGUAACUGCGAGUGAAGCGGGAAAAGCUCAAAUUUAAAAUCUGGCGGUCUUGCGGCCGUCCGAGUUGUAAUCUGGAGAAGCGUUUAUCCGCGUCGGACCGUGUACAAGUCUUCUGGAAGGGAGCGUCGUAGAGGGUGAGAAUCCCGUCUUUGACACGGACAACCGGUGCUUUUGUGAUGCGCUCUCGAGGAGUCGAGUUGUUUGGGAAUGCAGCUCAAAAUGGGUGGUAAAUUCCAUCUAAAGCUAAAUAUUGGCGAGAGACCGAUAGCGAACAAGUACCGUGAGGGAAAGAUGAAAAGCACUUUGGAAAGAGAGUUAAACAGUACGUGAAAUUGUUGAAAGGGAAACGUUUGAAGUCAGUCGCGUCGGCCGAGACUCAACCUUGCUUCUGCUCGGUGCACUUCUCGGUUGACGGGUCAGCAUCAAUUUUGACCGCCGGAUAAAGGUCGGGGGAAUGUGGCAUCCUUCGGGAUGUGUUAUAGACCUCGAUUCGGAUACGGCGAUUGGGAUUGAGGAACUCGGCGCUUUGCGUCCAGGAUGCUGGCGUAAUGGUUGUAAGCGGCCCGUCUUGAAACACGGACC